AGGGCAAGCUAGCACAAAAGUUCCAGACCAAGGUUUUUCAAACUUGGGUGUCCAUCAGAAUUACCAGAAAGGCUUGUUGAAAUACAGACAGGAACUCUGUGCUUACUUUCUGAUCCAGUUGAUCUGGGAGUGCAGCUCCAGAAUUUGCAUUUCUAAGAAGUGUCUAGGUGAUGUUAAUGUUGCUGGUGGGACAGGUUGAAAACCACUGUUUUUAAGCAUGUUUUUUUUUUCUUUUCUUCUUCUUUUUUUAAUAAUUUGUUUAUUUAUUUAUUCAUGAGAGACACACAGAGAGAGGCAGAAACACAGGCAGGGGGAGAAGCAGGCUCCAUGCAGGGAGCCUCAUGUAGGACUUGAUGUGGAAUUUGAGCCCGGGACUCCAGGAUCACGCCCUGGGCCAAAGGCACAUGCUCUACUGCAGAGCCACCCAGGCUUCCCAAGCAUGGGGUUUCUAAUAGGAUUUAAUAGAAUUUUCCACUUUUCCUCGAUACAUUUCUAAAAAUCAAUCUUUUAAUGUAUCUCCUUGCCUUUAAGGAUUUUCAUAGCAUGCAAAAGGUUAUUGCCACUCAAAGAUGCAAGAUUCGUGGUUUGGAAAUAUGACAGCAACCCAGAGGAAAAAAUGCCAAUCUUUUUACAAGAGAAGCAACAAGAUAAACAACGCAUAACAAUGAGAGGAAAUAUGUUUAUAGUAGAAAAUUCAAUGAAAUUAACAAAGGUAGGUAUGGAAUUUACUUAAUUUCUUUAAUUACCAAAUAAUGAACUACAGUCUAAGUCAAAUUUGCAAAAUCUUUUAUAAGAAAACACUAAAAUUAUAAACAAAAUGUAAAGUCAAAUGUUAAUCUUGUUUCUUCUGAAUGAAUAUGUGAGACAUGUGUCCUUAAACCAUCCUAGAGGAGGGGCGCCUGGGUGGCUCAGUCUGUUUGGCAUCUGCCUUUGGACCAGGUCGUGACCACUCUGCCACUCCCUCUGCUGCUACUCCUACUUGUGCUCUCUUACUCUUGC
rnacentral:lncRNA from 1 species